rnacentral:lncRNA from 1 species
CACCUUUUGUCCUUUCUUUAUUGUAGCUAAUCCAUGAUAUUUACUACCCAUAGAAAGAGAUGGUAGUUGCCCAGAACAAACUCACUUUUUUUUUUUUUUUUUUUUUUUUUUGAGAUGAAGUGUUACUCUGUCGCCCAGGCUAGAGUGCAGCGCACAGGCGCCCGCCACCACGCCUGGCUAAUUUUUUUUUGUUUGUUUGUUUUUAGCAGAGACGGGGUUUCACCGUGUUAGCCAGGAUGGUCUCAAUCUCCUGACCUCGUGAUACGCCCGCCUCAGCCUCCUAAAGUGCUGGGAUUACAGGCGUAAGCCACCACAGCCUGCCACAAACUCACUUUUUGAAUUAAUUGUGAGAUGUUGGGCUUGAAAAUCAGGUUCAAUUUUUUUUUAAAGAGUUUUCUAUAGUUGUGAUUCUCUCAUUCAUAGGUCAAAAGGCCACACUGGCAAAGUAACAACACAGAAUUUUAUUACAGCUGCUAGAUAUGAAGACUCAGCAUAUGAUAUCGGUGACGUUAAUACCUUCCCAGGGAGAAGCGCUGUUCCUUCUGGCUGGGAAGUGCGAGCCGGUGGGGGGAGAGAGAGGAGUAGAGCAUUAUGUGGAGGUACUUCCCGGUUCCCUUGCGUCUGAGGGUCUUAUGCCAGAGGGGAUAGAAAGCCCAACAGAAACUCAAGAUAGAAGAAGGAGAAUCUGCGAGUGUCUGUCUCCUGUCAAGCUUCCCUAAUACAGCCCUGGUAGAACUUCAUCAACAGUGGAAGGCAUUUGCAAAGCCGGUUCAGAGGAAGAGUGAAAUCCCCAAGAUCAGCAGGGCAAAAUGCUGGAAGUUGUCGAGGAUGCAGAGAGUAGCAGGAAGACACCUCUGAGAACUCACUCACACACCCUGCCCCUGUGUAGAGAUGUCAUCCUGGGGAUGAGAAGGAGGAAGACAGAGAAACGCAGAAAAGCCUAAGCAGGCACCACAAAGAGACCGAGCCCGUCUGAAAGAGGCUGCUCUAACCUGGUGGAAACUAUUUUAAGUUGCCACCAGACAUUACAUUCCAGAGCCUUGAGAAAAACUGAUGAAAAAAAAGUCAUGAAAAAAAGUCAUUCGCACAAGUGACACCAUGGUGUGAAGUCAAGGAGCACAGACUCUGGAGUCAGAGGGCUUGAGUCAACCUGAGCAUCUUCAGCUUUGACUGUGAAGACACAGCUUUGACUCUCUGUGUUGCAGAGAUGGUAGUGCCCACUCCAGUGACGCUUGUGAGGAUUAGUUGAGAUAAUAAAUACAAAAUGCUGAGCAUCAAACCUAGAGUAGAGAAAGGUCUCAAUUGGACUUGGAUUAUCAAAAGUGGAGCAGUUCCAGCUAUCCAUUUCCACGGAAGUCAAGAAAAGUAUUGACAUACCUUGCAAGAUAUCGAGCACAAGGUUUGAAACAGAUGUCAUUCACUGGUACCGGCAGAAACCAAAUCAGGCUUUGGAGCACCUGAUCUAUAUUGUCUCAACAAAAUCCGCAGCUCGACGCAGCAUGGGUAAGACAAGCAACAAAGUGGAGGCAAGAAAGAAUUCUCAAACUCUCACUUCAAUCCUUACCAUCAAGUCCGUAGAGAAAGAAGACAUGGCCGUUUACUACUGUGCUGCGU